AGGUAGUCGACACCACUAAUAUCAAUUCAAAACGGCUAUAGACACUUGAUCAAAUGAUGUGUAAGUGAGCCUCCUCUCGGACAGCUUCCUCUCUUUGCUCCUCGGUCUAUGGGUCUUAGUAGCUGUUUCCAGUUGUUUCUCCCCUCUCGAGGCAAGUUCUUCUCCAUGCUAGUCGGUGAGGUAAUAGCUUAUCAAGGCGAUGAUCAGUAGCUAGCUAGCCCGAGAGGACGAUCAACCACUCAAGCUUAGACACAACCCAAACUCCUAAGAGAUGCGACAGUGGGGGCAACAGGUGUAAGCUUGACAGAGCAAUGCUAUGUGGAGGUAGAAGGCCUAAGGGUCGUGAACUUAUUUUCUCGAAAGAAGAAUCAAUGAUGGUAUCUGUGGAAUACACAUGGGCUAACUAUGUGACAAUAACCAUCAUAAUACAGAGUUUGUGU
rfam:Helianthus annuus linkage group 5, whole genome shotgun sequence.